GUGCUCGCUUCAGCAGCACACAUACAAAAAUUGGAAUGAUACAGAGAUGAUUAGCAUGGCCCCUGCCCAUGCUAAGGAUGACACGCAAAUUCAUGAAGCAUUUCAUAUUUUU